UCCUACGGGGGGCAGCAGUGGGGAAUAUUGCACAAUGGGGGGAACCCUGAUGCAGCGACGCCGCGUGAGUGAAGAAGUAUUUCGGUAUGUAAAGCUCUAUCAGCAGGGAAGAAAAUGACGGUACCUGACUAAGAAGCCCCGGCUAACUACGUGCCAACAGCCGCGGUAAUACGUAGGUGGCAAGCGUUGUUCGGAAUAACUGGGCGUAAAGGAUGCGUAGGCGGUUAAACAAGUUAUAUGUUAAAUAUAUAGGCUUAACCUGUAGAAAGCAUAUAAAACUGUUUAACUAGAGUGCAGGAGAGGUA
rnacentral:rRNA from 1 species